ACCGGCGCACGGGUGAGUAACACGUAUCCAACCUUCCCAUCACUCGGGGAUAGCCUUUCGAAAGAAAGAUUAAUACCCGAUAGUACUUUUUUGAGGCAUCUUAAGAAAGUUAAAGAUUUAUUGGUGAUGGAUGGGGAUGCGUUCCAUUAGAUUGUUGGUGAGGUAACGGCUCACCAAGUCUUCGAUGGAUAGGGGUUCUGAGAGGAAGGUCCCCCACAUUGGUACUGAGACACGGACCAAACUCCUACGGGAGGCAGCAGUGAGGAAUAUUGGUCAAUGGGCGAGAGCCUGAACCAGCCAAGUAGCGUGAAGGAUGAAGGUCCUAUGGAUUGUAAACUUCUUUUAUAGUAGAAUAAAGUGAUCCACGUGUGGAUUUUUGUAUGUAUACUAUGAAUAAGGAUCGGCUAACUCCGUGCCAGCAGCCGCGGUAAUACGGAGGAUCCGAGCGUUAUCCGGAUUUAUUGGGUUUAAAGGGUGCGUAGGCGGAAAAAUAAGUCAGUUGUGAAAGUUUGCGGCUCAACCGUAAAAUUGCAGUUGAUACUGUUUUUCUUGAGUGUACAUAAGGUAGGCGGAAUUCGUGGUGUAGCGGUGAAAUGCUUAGAUAUCACGAAGAACUCCAAUUGCGAAGGCAGCUUACCGGGGUACAACUGACGCUGAGGCACGAAAGUGUGGGUAUCAAACAGGAUUAGAUACCCUGGUAGUCCACACAGUAAACGAUGAAUACUCGCUGUUUG
rnacentral:rRNA from 1 species